rnacentral:rRNA from 1 species
GCUACGGGUGGCUGCAGUAGGGAAUAUUGCUCAAUGGGGGAAACCCUGAAGCAGCAACGCCGCGUGGAGGAUGAAGGUUUUAGGAUUGUAAACUCCUUUUGUUAGAGAAGAUUAUGACGGUAUCUAACGAAUAAGCACCGGCUAACUCCGUUCCAGCAGCCGCGGUAAUACGGAGGGUGCAAGCGUUACUCGGAAUCACUGGGCGUAAAGAGUGCGUAGGCGGGGUAAUAAGUCAGAUGUUAAAUCCUGUAGCUUAACUACAGAACUUCAUUUGAAACUGGUACUCUGGAGUGUGGGGUGGGGAGGUGGGAAUCUUUGGUGAGGGGGAAAAUUCG